rnacentral:lncRNA from 1 species
GCAUUUUCAAUAUAUACAUGUAUUCCCAAAAGGGCAUCAACCCUGUAAAAAUGUUGAUAAGCGCAGACUUUCCGAGAAUUUGCUGAUGUAACUUUUGCUAUAAAUUUCAAAAAAAUCCUACAAGAAAUGUAAACAAGAGCGCUUACAAUGCAAUUUUCUAUAAAUAUAUUUCCAAGUGGCAUUAUUCCUUUAAAAAUAGUUGAAAUAUGAAAAAACUUCAUAGGUAAGAUCAGAAGAAUCAAUCUUCGAUUAUAUAUUAAAAUCAUGGACUGUAAAACAAAGAAUCAACAGCUCUCUGGGUCGAAUACUUUUAACCAUUUUGGCACCAAUUGUUUAAAUUUUUUUAGCCAAGUGAGUUGCCAUUGAUCUCAGUAGAUGAUUGGUUAAGUUGAAACAUGUGAAAGGUCUUAACCUGUGUCAUGUCUCAGGAUGAAUUAACAGGUUUAUAGAGUAACUGGCAUCCUUUGUUUUAUGCUGAUAGUGUACAUACACACUUUAUUCAAAUCCGAUUUACUUCUGUUACUACUUUACACUAAACAAAAAAGCGCGGUCCUGUUUGUUUGCCACCAGUAGUGAGUUUGUUGACUGGUCAUAAUGCAAUGCCUGUGGACUAGUUAGACCUACAGUGGAAGAUAUAAUUUGUCUGUAAUGUUUUCCGUCAUGAGAAAUAACCACUACAUUGUUUGAACUGGUCCCCACUACGUAUACAUUUCCAUCGUUGUCUACGGAGAUACCUUGUGGAUAUUUUAAAACGUUUUCCUCCUUGAAUUCCCAUUGUAACUGUCCUUCGAAAUCACUGCAUGUAACUGUGUUGCUGUCGGGGUUAGUAUAAAACAGGUGUUUAUCAAACGUUGUUACACAUGGAUAUCCCCAAUUACAAAGUGGUCCGGAUUUUAUUGAACCUUGUGUAUCGUCAUUUAAAUCAAUCGUCCUAAACCCUUUAUUCCCUGAACAAUAUAUUAAUGUUCCUUCGUUUGUUAGCACUACACCUGUAUUUUCUGAUCCAACAUCAAACUUUGUCGUUACUUUUCUUUGAUUUAUGUCAAUGCAGUUGAUGAUAUACGGUCCAAAGUAACGACCAGCAGUAACAGCAAUUUUAUUGUUACCUAUGUACACCAUAUCAAAACAUUUACCUGGUUUUAUUUCAAAGUCCUUUGUACCAUCUUUGUUUAUUCCUAUAACUUUUUGUUGAUUGUUACAAGUAAACAUCAUCCUUCCAUCAGGUAUAAUGGUACAUCCUCUGAUCUUUCUUGCAUCGACGUUGACAAUCAUUUCUAACAUUAGUGUCAGGUUUUCAAUGGACUUUGGUGACGGAACUAAACUCAUCUGUUGAGCCUGUUGAUCCUUCAUCCUACUUAUCAUAAGUUUGUUCGGGUCAUUAACAACAGUUAUUUCUCCAAAGGAUUCUAUAUU